UGGGGAAUAUUGGACAAUGGAGGAAACUCUGAUCCAGCAAUUCUGUGUGUGUGAAGAAGGUUUUAGGACUGUAAAACACUUUUAGUAGGGAAGAAAAAAAUGACGGUACCUACAGAAGAAGCAACGGCUAAAUACGUGCCAGCAGCCGCGGUAAUACGUAUGUUGCGAGCGUUAUCCGGAAUUAUUGGGCUUAAAGGGCAUCUAGGCGGUAAGACAAGUUGAAGGUGAAAACCUGUGGCUCAACCAUAGGAUUGCCUACAAAACUGUUGAACUAGAGUACUGGAAAGGUGGGUGGAACUACACGAGUAGAGGUGAAAUUCGUAGAUAUGUGUAGGAAUGCCGAUGAUGAAGAUAACUCACUGGACAGAAACUGACGCUGAAGUGCGAAAGCUAGGGGAGCAAACAGG
rnacentral:rRNA from 1 species